UAGAUAGAGGUGGGAAUCCUCUAGGCCGAAUAUCCAAGGUUUCCAGAGUAAAGCUGAUCUGCUCUGGGUAAGUCGGGGCCUAAGGCGAGGACGAGAGUCGUAGCCGAUGGACAACAGGUGGAGAUUCCUGUACUGCGGUAUGACAGAACUGUGGGGACACGUAAGGAAAGCGGAAGCCGGGAAUGGAAAGCCCGGUGCAAGCGGGGUACCAGUCACUUUGGCAAAUCCGGGUGGCAAUGGGAAGCCGUGAUGCGGAGCGAAAUAAAGUAGUGAAGUCCGUGAGCCAUGCGUCAAGAAAAGCCGCUAUUGUUUAUACCGUACCCGUACCGUAAACCGACACAGGUGGAUGAGGAGAGAAUCCUAAGGCCGGCGGAAGAAGCAUUGUCAAGGAACUCGGCAAAAUGGCCCCGUAACUUAGGGAUAAGGGGUGCCUGGGAAACCAGGCCGCAGAGAAUAGGCUCAAGCAACUGUUUAGCAAAAACACAGGUCUAUGCGAAACCGAAAGGUGAGGUAUAUGGGCUGACGCCUGCCCGGUGCUGGAAGGUUAAGAGGAGAGGUUAGCGGUAACGCGAAGCUUUGAAUUUAGGCCCCAGUAAACGGCGGCCGUAACAAUAACGGUCCUAAGGUAGCGAAAUUCCUUGUCGGGUAAGUUCCGACCCGCACGAAAGGCGUAAUGAUUUGAGCGCUGUCUCGACAAUGCAUCCGGUGAAAUUGAAGUACCAGUGAAGAUGCUGGUUACCUGCGCCAGGACGGAAAGACCCCAUGGAGCUUUACUCCAGUCUGGUACUGGGACUCGGUAUUGCAUGUACAGGAUAGGUGGGAGGCUAGGAGAUGGUAACGCCAGUUGCUAUGGAGCCGCUGUUGGGAUACCACCCUUGCAGUAUUGGGUUUCUAACCAGCCGCCGUGACCCGGCGGUGGGACAAUGCCAGACGGGGAGUUUGACUGGGGCGGUCGCCUCCGAAAGGGUAUCGGAGGCGCCCAAAGGUUCCCUCAGAAUGGACGGAAACCAUUCGAAGAGUGCAAAGGCAGAAGGGAGCUUGACUGCGACACCGACGGGUGGAGCAGGUACGAAAGUAGGGCUUAGUGAUCCGGUGGUAUAAAGUGGGAUUGCCAUCGCUCAACGGAUAAAAGCUACCCUGGGAUAACAGGCUUAUCACUCCCAAGAGUUCACAUCGACGGAGUGGUUUGGCACCUCGAUGUCGGCUCAUCGCAUCCUGGAGCUGUAGCAGGUUCCAAGGGUUGGGCUGUUCGCCCAUUAAAGCGGUACGCGAGCUGGGUUCAGAACGUCGUGAGACAGUUCGGUCCCUAUCCGGCGUGGGCGUAGGAUAUUUGAGAGGAGCUGUCCUUAGUACGAGAGGACCGGGAUGGACAAACCUCUGGUGUAUCUGUUGUUUUACCAAAGGCAUGGCAGAGUAGCCAAGUUUGGCAGGGAUAAACGCUGAAGGCAUCUAAGCGUGAAGCCCCCCUCAAGAAAAGAUAUCCCAUCUUCGGAGUAAGACCCCUUGAAGACUACAAGGUUGAUAGGCUUUGUGUGUAAGUGCGGUAACGCACUCAGCUGAGAAGUACUAAUAGGUCGAGGACUUAUCU
rnacentral:rRNA from 1 species